rnacentral:tRNA from 1 species
GCUGUAGCUCAGUGGUAGAGCAUCUGUUUUGCAUGCAGAAUGCCCUGGGUUCAAUCCCCAGCAUCUCCA